rnacentral:rRNA from 1 species
UUUUACAAUGGAGAGUUUGAUCCUGGCUCAGGAUGAACGCUAGCGGCAGGCCUAAUACAUGCAAGUCGAGGGGUAUAGGAGGCUUGCUUCCUAGAGACCGGCGCAC